CACUAUUGUUGCUCACGCUAAUGUUGCUCACGACACACACGUGGAGAGAGGAAUAGCUAACCAGACAGUGGAUAGACGUGCAGCAGCAAGGAUCUUAGAAAAUGGCGGAACUUGAAAAAGACGCAGGACUACCCCAACCAAUGCAGGAGAACCGAGAUGAAGAGGAGCCGGGCAAUUCCAUGGACAAAAGACCCCAGGCUGUGUAAGGGCUAUUUGAUGAAGGAGAGUGAUGGAGGGCUGCAUCAGAUGACCCGACCUCAACCCAAUUGAGAUGGUUUGGGAUGAGUUGGACCGCAGAGUGAAGGAAAAGCAGCCAACAAGCGCUCAGCAUAUGUGGGAACUCAAGACUGUUGAAAAAGCAUUCCAGGUGAAGCUGGUUGAGAGAAUACUAAGAGUGUGCAAAGCUGUCAAGGCAAAUGGUGGCUACUUUGAAGAAUCUAGAAUAUAUUUUGAUUUGUUUAACAUUAUUUUGUUUCAACAUGAUUCCAUAUGUGUUAUUUCAAGGUUUUGAUGUCUUC
ensembl:lncRNA